rnacentral:lncRNA from 7 species
AUGGAUGAUCUGCCUGUGGGAUCUCGGGAAUGUGACGCUCUUCUUCCUUGGCGUUCAGCGAAAUAAACAAAAGCACGCUCCUCCCAUAAACAAACCACCUUUUUGAAUGAUGGAGAUGUGCUCAUAGGGCAAACGGCCUGAUAAACCGUGAUCUAAUAGAAAACUAUGGCAACGCUAACAUGCGAUCAGUGUCUUGUGUCUAGACUCUAGAAGCUUGCAUUUUAAAAUCAGGGGAGAUUGAGUUGUCUGUGCCAGUGUGAUCCAAACAGCAGAAUAUACGGUUUGUAUUUGUUCUAUAAUUUUUUACAUUUGAUACUCCAACGAGUAACGAGGCAGCUGUGCGCUCAAUUGCUAGCCAAGAUGACAUCUGUGUGUUGCCAGUAUCCGAUGCAAAACCACUGCUGCUUCUUUUUUUAUUAAUAUAUAAUAUAAAACGCAUGAGACGAUCAGCGUGUAUACAAUGCAUCUAAAUGAUGCGCCGUUUCUCUUUUUGGCUAUGAGAAGGUGCACGAUGCCGAGUGGAGCCUUAAGAUUUGCUCACCUGCACCCAGCUAGCAGCCACAUGGAUGAAACGACAAAGUCUGCUGCUCUCUCAAGUGAGUCAUGGCUGUAAUUAUAACCGCAAUUAUGCCUGCCCAAAAGCCCAAAGCAGGUAACACUCCUUUUCUAAAGGAAACUUAAGACAAUUAGGCCAUAUCUAUCGUUCAUAAUUAUUAAGGCCAUGUUUGGAUUUUAAUGGCUAAUUGUUCGUCGGUGGCUAAUAAUUAGCCAGCAGAUAAUUAGCUAGCCACAAGUUAUAGUAUGUUUGAAGUCUUAGCUAAAUAAAUGUCUUUUUUUCUCUCUAUACGGUCUAUUAGCACAUGUUAGCAAGAUUAAAUAGUUAAUGGGCAAACAGUUUGCCAACCCUCUAGCUAACAAUUAGCCAAUUUAUUAAUCAACUUGUUUGGAGGUCAAGGUGCUAAUAUAAACAGAUAAAUUGUUUGUCACAUGGAUUCAAACAGACCCUAACUAGGUCCAAAAUUUAGCUGUGCCGUUAAAUGUACCCACAAAAACUUGUAGAAAUAGGAGAAAUAUUAUUCGGGGGUCAUAAAUAUUGAUUAUUCAUUCAAUGUGUGUUAACAACAGUGUAACUUCACUAAUCUUUUGUGUUUAUAUGACAAUUAUGAAAUAACAUGUUUCGCUUCAAAAAUUAUGAAAUAAUAUGUCCUAUCAAACCCUCUAAAGAAUAAAUAAAAUAAACCUCGCUGCUAUCUUGAAAAAACUAGCAAACUAGUCCAAGCAAAUAACACGGAUAACUAGUUUAUUAAUUAUAGUAUUUAUAUUUUCUUAUUCAAUCUUUUUUCAAAUAUUUUCAUUUGUCUGAUUAGUAAUAACUAUCUUCUCCCGAUGCGCCUUUACUCUAGCUAUUGGCUAAAGUUUGGUCAUGACUUAUUAAGACAUGUACAAUGAUGUUUAAUAUAUGAGAAUAUAUCUAGUGCACAUGGAAUUUUAGGGCACAUGAUGCACAUAUUAAAUCAUCAUCACUCAUCUUAGAUCUAACGUCUGUAGUUGUUUGGUAUAUUUGCUAAAGACACCCUCUGACGUGGUGGGCUGUAGUGGUGGAAGGUGUUAUUUGUAAAUUACAAUGAUCAAUCAGAGACGUUAGAUCUAAAAUAGAUAGUGAUGAUUUAAUAUGUGCACCAUGUGCACAAAGCUUUCAUGUGCACCGGAUAUGUCCUCUUAAUAUAUAGACUCUUUAUUUGUUCCUAUUUAUAAAAAAAAUUGUAUUGUUGUCUCUGGCUCGUAACCCAAAUAGUAACAGACGUCUUCACUUCCCUUGUACAAAUAUGUAGUCUGUUAUAUUGAUCUGAUGCUCAACAGGCGCAUUGUCUUAUGCAUUUAUUAAUAGACUACAUUUAUAGUCACUCUCCAUUGUGUAAUAGGUCUCUUAGUUGUCUCUUAUGAUUAAAGAACCAUUUUGAUAUCUCUCCACUAUACAUGUCCUAAGGAGCUAUUGUCGUAUUUAUUGUCUCUUGUUUUUUAUUACUAUCUCUUGAUUGUUACUCCCCUCACUUAUGAAUAAUAUUCACAUAAUGCCCUAAAAUAAUUUUUUUGAUUCAUUUUACCCUCCGCUCCUUUGAGUUGAUUCAAUUUACCCCAUAACAAAAUUUCUCUUUUUUUUAUUUCCUUACGUACAAAAUGAGUAUUUAAUUCAAAUUUUGUUGGUUAGUACAUAAUAGUAUAACUUUGCCUAAAAUAUAUUAUGAUUUUGUAAUUAUUUUGAUAGAUUAGAUAUCACCUAAGAUAAUAACUUUAAUGAUACAAAACUAAAUAUAAAAUAAUGACAAAAAAUUAUAACAUAUUUUCCUAUAGUAAGUUAUGAUGUUCUCAAUCAACUCAAAAAAUAUGAACUUGAAAUUCAACAUGUACAUGGAGAAAUGAAAAACACAAAUAUUAUUAGGAGAAGCUUUGUCUUUUUCGUUUCUCUAUGUACAAGUUAAAUUUCAAGUUCAUAUUUUUUGAAGUGACUAAAGACAUCAUAAUCUAUGUUAGAAAAAAUAGUUUAAGAAUUUUUCAUCGUUAUUUGUUAUUUCAUAUUUAGUUUUGUACCAUUAAAGUUUUUAUCUUAUUUAAUCCCUAACCUAUCAAAAUAAUCAUACAAAAUCAUAAUAUAUUUUUCUAAGCUGAAUUAUGCUACUAGCUACUAACCAACAAAUUUUGAACUAAAAACUCAAUUUGCACAUAAAGAAAUUAACAUGAUAAAUUUUGUUAAGGAUAAAUUGAACCAACUCAAAGGAGUGGAGGGGAAAAUAAACUAAAAAUACUUUAGGGGGUUAUGUGAACAUUGUCCAUAGGUGAGGGGUGUAAUUUGGACUUUUCCUUUUAGAUAAGUCUAAAUCAAGUAUUUUUUGUGAGUUCUUACAAACACAUGUUUGAUAUGUGAUCACAAUGUUAAGUAUGCUGAGUAAUUGUCAUGAAGAUGAUCGACUUUGGUUUACUUUGUGGAUUAACUAUGGCCUUAGUGUGGUGUUAUGCAACAUUUAUCUUGGCUUAUGGUCUGCAUAUGUAGAGCACAUAGGUGAUGGUCAACGACAAAGAUGAAGGUCAUGCGAGUUUGUGUCGGUGGACUCAGAGUAGUGAAGGACGAACAUCAGGCUAUAACUAAGAGUCCAGAAAAGCUAGAGGACCAAUCAUGAGUGGCUGACACCUAGGGUCAUCGAUGAGUGCAAGAGGACAUGGAGAAGUACAUUAUGUUGAUCGAAUCAAGAUGGCGGUUGAUCAAGUAAAAUUGAAGCGCUAGAGGACUUAGUGAUUUGGCGGUCAAGGACUUGAGGUGACACAUUUCAAGAUUGUGGGGAGAGCAUAUGGAGUACCCUACCCAUGAUUGAUUUAAUUGUUUGAGCAUCAAAACCAUGAGUUGACAACAUCUAGCUUUGUACCUCAAAACUUGGGUGGAGUUCUAGCGAGAACUGUAGGUGGCAGUGGCAUCAUCAUGAAGCUUGCAUCGGUGCAAAGCAAAGUUGUGAGACCAUAACAUCUGCGGGGUUAAAUUGUUUGGCUCUAAUUACCUAGGGACAAGUUGGAAAUAUGUAAUAUCUCUAUCAAUAAUGUAAGGAAAAUGAAUCAAUGCCUAUUUAUAGUAAGGUUUUGGUGUUUGAUG